rnacentral:rRNA from 1 species
ACCGUCGACAGUCAGGUAACGAGCGAGACCCCUGCGUCUAGUUGCUACCAUUACUCUCUGGAGCAGUGGAGCGAAUUAGACGGGCCGCCACAGUUAAUGUGGAGGAAGGAAGGGGCCACGGCAGGUCAGUAUGCCCCGAAACCCUAGGGCUACACGCGGGCUGCAAUGGUAUUGACAAUGUGUUCCGAAUCCGAAAGGAGGAGGCAAUCAUCAAACAAUAUCUCAGUUAUGACUGAGGGCUGUAACUCGCCCUCACGAAUAUGGAAUCCCUAGUAACCGCGCGUCACUACCGCGCGGUGAAUACGUCCCUGCUCCUUGCACGAAUUCGCCG